AUUGAACGCUGGCGGCAGGCUUAACACAUGCAAGUCGAGCGGUAACAGAGAGAAGCUUGCUUCUCUGCUGACGAGCGGCGGACGGGUGAGUAAUGCCUAGGAAUCUGCCUAGUAGUGGGGGAUAACUUGCCGAAAGGUAAGCUAAUACCGCAUACGUCCUACGGGAGAAAGGAGGGGACCUUCGGGCCUUUCGCUAUUAGAUGAGCCUAGGUCGGAUUAGUUAGUUGGUGAGGUAAUGGCUCACCAAGACCGCGAUCCGUAACUGGUCUGAGGGGAUGAUCAGUCCAACUGGAACUGAGACACGGUCCAGACUCCUACGGGAGGCAGCAGUGGGGAAUAUUGGACAAUGGGGGGAACCCUGAUCCAGCCAUGCCGCGUGUGUGAAGAAGGUCUUAGGAUUGUAAAGCACUUUAAGUUGGGAGGAAGAGCAGUUAACUAAUAUUUGACUGUUUUGACGUUACCGACAGAAUAAGCACCGGCUAACCUCGUGCCAGCAGCCGCAGUAA
rnacentral:rRNA from 1 species